GACGAACGCUGGCGGCGUGCUUAACACAUGCAAGUCGAACGGGCCCGCCCCUGUUUUUGGGGGUGGGUUGAGUGGCGAACGGGUGAGUAUCACGUGAGUAACCUGCCCCCUGCUCCUGGAUAACUGCUUGAAAGGGCGGCUAAUACGGGGUGUGCCGGCUGGUCCGCAUGGGCCUGGUCGGGAUAGUUUCAUCUUCGGGUGUUUCGGUGGGGGAUGGGCUCGCGGCCUAUCAGCUUGUUGGUGGGGGGAUGGCCCACCAAGGCGGUGACGGGUAGCCGGCCUGAGAGGGUGGGCGGCCAGGCUGGGACUGAGACACGGGCCAGACUCCUGCGGGAGGCAGCAGUGGGGGGUAUUGCACAAUGGGCGGAAGCCUGAUGCAGCGACGUCGCGUGAGGGAUGGAGGCCUUCGGGUUGUGAACCUCUUUCUCCGGUGGUGAAGGCCCUGUCCGGUGCGGCGGGGUUGACGGUAGCCGGGUAUGAAGCGCCGGCUAACUACGUG
rnacentral:rRNA from 1 species